rnacentral:lncRNA from 1 species
GAAUGGCACAGUACACGUGAGGAAAGAAGAAAAACUGGAAAAUGGCUUUGGGGUUUACUGUAGCAGCAUCAUCUCCAAAUUCGAAUUUCUUAAUUUCUCCCCAAAAAUGUCAAUUGAGCAUACCAUUGUAAUCAUCAAACAUCAUACAACAACAAUCCAAACCCUAUUUUCAUUAAUUUGAACUACACAACAAGAAAUCACAGGAAACAUUUUCAAACAUCAAACUUUAUCUCAUCAUAUCUUCAUAGACAAGCAAUCAUUUUCAAAAAGGAGAGCAUCAUGGUACUCAGCAUUGAAAGACCUAUUCAAAACAUGUAAUAAUU